GUAUUUAUAAGUGGUUACAUGAGAGAAAAAUAAGAAAAACUUUUUAAACCAGCUAAGGACACAUGGUUCUCUAGAUAUAGCUUAAAGAAUAUUGCAUAGAGUUGUGCUCAGAUUCCCAAGAUAGCCACACAAGCCUAAUGGCUACACAAGUAAAACGACACAGUAUAAAAAAGAAAUAGCAACUCCUAAUGAUAGUUCAGAAAAGGUGACUUAGUAACUAAAAAGUAAA
rnacentral:lncRNA from 1 species